UAGAAAUAGAGUGGCAGCAAACGCUUUGGUGGUAAUCGUGGUAAUGCAUCCAAAUUGACUUCAGUUGUAAAUCAAAAAGGUAGAUUACAGACUAUGAAGAUACCUACAUGUUGGCGAAUUCAGUUUCGGCAGCGACCGUCAGAUUAUCAGACAGGCUUGAAUCAUAACUGAAACCUUGUCGAAAAAGGUUAUGAUAUAUAUACAAAUUCAUCUCGGAUCUCAUCAAUCAACCAAUAUAGGACUCGUUGGUUGUAUAUACGGCGAAUAAAUUCAUAGAUCUCGCGUGUCCCGGCGAACAAAGACAAAUUUCCAACAUUUUUUUUACAUUUUUUAUUAUUCUGCGGAAUGGUAUUCUGCAAGGUGGUACGCCGAAUAGUUUUCCGCUACCAUCUUACUUUUUUCCCUUUAAGGAUUUUGCUGGUCAUCUUGAGCACACAUCUGCAUUUCCCCACAUUGCAUGCGAGGUCGAAGUGCUCAAGACCGGCAGGUAUUUCGUUAUUUUUCAUGGGAUUGUCAUCUUCGACCACGAGUUCUUCAUAGCUGCCAUCGGUAUUUUUUCAAGAGCUUCGCUGUGUUCGGUGUGACUAUACCAACCGAAAUCCAAAAGUUGUACGAUGU